rnacentral:rRNA from 1 species
AGGACGAACGCUGGCGGCGUGCUUAACACAUGCAAGUCACGGGGGCUCGCAAGAGCAACCGGCGAACGGGUGCGUAACACGUGAGCAACCUGCCUUUGUGUGGGGGAUAGCCGGGCUAACGCCCGGGUAAUACCGCAUACGGUCACCGGGAGGAGUCUCCUGGUGAAGAAACCUCCGGGGCACAGAGAGGGGCUCGCGGCCUAUCAGCUAGUUGGCGGGUAAUGGCCCACCAAGGCGACGACGGGUAGCUGGUCUGAGAGGAUGGCCAGCCACAUUGGGACUGAGAGACGGCCCAGACUCCUACGGGAGCAGCAGUGGGAAUCUUGCGCAAUGGCCGAAAGGCUGACGCAGCGACGCCGCGUGGUGGGAGGACGGCCGUUUCGGGUGUAAACCGACGUGUUCGCCCGGGACGAACAGCGCUAGUUGGUACGCGCCUGACGGUACCGGUGGAACGGAAGCCACCGGUCUAACGUCCGU